rnacentral:rRNA from 1 species
UACGGAGGGUGCAAGCGUUGCUCGGAAUUACUGGGCGUAAAGCGCACGCAGGCGGUUUGUCAGGUCGGAUGUGAAAGCCCGGGGCUCAACCCCGGAACUGCAUUCGAAACCGGCAGACUUGAGUUCGAGAGAGGGUGGUGGAAUUCCUGGUGUAGAGGUGAAAUUCGUUGAUAUCAGGAGGAACACCGGUGGCGAAGGCGACCACCUGGCUCGAUACUGACGCUCAUGUGCGAAAGCGUGGGGAGCAAACAGG